rnacentral:rRNA from 1 species
CGGCAAGAGCUCAAAUUUGAAAUCUGGCUUCGGCCCGAAUUGUAAUUUGCAGAGGAACGUUCGGCGACGCCUAGGUCUGAUUUUUCUGGAAGGAAAAGCCACUGAGGGUGAGAGCCCCGUAUGACUGAUGGCCGAACCAUGUGUACGUCCUUCGA